GCAAGGGGAGCGGCAGACGGGUGAGUAACGCGUGGGAAUCUACCCUUUGCUACGGAAUAACGCAUGGAAACGUGUGCUAAUACCGUAUGUGUCCUUCGGGAGAAAGAUUUAUCGGCAAAGGAUGAGCCCGCGUUGGAUUAGCUAGUUGGUGGGGUAAAGGCCUACCAAGGCGACGAUCCAUAGCUGGUCUGAGAGGAUGAUCAGCCACAUUGGGACUGAGACACGGCCCAAACUCCUACGGGAGGCAGCAGUGGGGAAUAUUGGACAAUGGGCGCAAGCCUGAUCCAGCCAUGCCGCGUGAGUGAUGAAGGCCUUAGGGUUGUAAAGCUCUUUCACCGGAGAAGAUAAUGACGGUAUCCGGAGAAGAAGCCCCGGCUAACUUCGUGCCAGCAGCCGCGGUAAUACGAAGGGGGCUAGCGUUGUUCGGAUUUACUGGGCGUAAAGCGCACGUAGGCGGAUCGAUCAGUCAGGGGUGAAAUCCCAGAGCUCAACUCUGGAAC
rnacentral:rRNA from 1 species